GUGAGGGAGGGUGUGACUAGUGACAGUUAGGCAGGGAAGGGGUGACUAGUGACAGAGGGAGGUGGUGACUAGGGACAGAGUGAGGGAGGUGGUGACUAGUGACAGUCACCACCUCCCUCACUCUGUCACUAGUCACCACCUCCCUCCGUCACUGUGUCACCCCCUCCCUCACUCUGUCACCAGUCAUCCCCUUACUCUGUCACUAGUCACCCCUCCCUCAC